rnacentral:lncRNA from 1 species
ACAGCACUACACAUCCAAGUGUCUGCCAUCUGCGCACUCAGGAAUACAUGUGGCUCUGGGCCCGGACAUCAUCGACUCAGUUGUUUUAGUUUCACUUUGGACAUUCAGAGCUGCCUUUUGAUAUGAGGUUGGAUUUCGUGGGAGAGAGACCCAGAGCCAGAGAUUUGUGUACUGGAAGUUUAUUGUGGGACUUUUGGGAGUAAGACCCAGGAGAGAGUGAAGGAAGAACUGGCAGAGAAAGAAGCUGAUCUGCAAUUCAGUAGCAAUGAAGGCCACAGUCAGUCCUUUGGGGAGCUCUGGAGCUGGG